UGAUAAAAAGAGGAUUUGAACCUCUGUCAUUGGGACUACAAGCCACCGCCUGCCUCUGGGCUAUUUUACC
rnacentral:tRNA from 1 species